rnacentral:rRNA from 1 species
UGGCUCAGGACGAACGCUGGCGGCGUGCCUAAUACAUGCAAGUAGAACGCUGAAGACUUUAGCUUGCUAGAGUUGGAAGAGUUGCGAACGGGUGAGUAACGCGUAGGUAACCUGCCUAUUAGUGGGGGAUAACUAUUGGAAACGAUAGCUAAUACCGCAUAAUAGUGUUUAACACAUGUUAGAGACUUGAAAGAUGCAAUUGCAUCACUAGUAGAUGGACCUGCGUUGUAUUAGCUAGUUGGUGGGGUAACGGCCUACCAAGGCGACGAUACAUAGCCGACCUGAGAGGGUGAUCGGCCACACUGGGACUGAGACACGGCCCAGACUCCUACGGGAGGCAGCAGUAGGGAAUCUUCGGCAAUGGGGGCAACCCUGACCGAGCAACGCCGCGUGAGUGAAGAAGGUUUUCGGAUCGUAAAGCUCUGUUGUAAGAGAAGAACGUGUGUGAGAGUGGAAAGUUCACACAGUGACGGUAACUUACCAGAAAGGGACGGCUAACUACGUGCCAGCAGCCGCGGUAAU